rnacentral:rRNA from 1 species
CGCCUCCUGAUUAAAAAUAGGAGGUCCAGCCUGCCCAGUGACAUCUGUUCAACGGCCGCGGUAUCCUAACCGUGCGAAGGUAGCGUAAUCACUUGUUCUUUAAAUGAGGACUAGUAUGAAUGGCAUCACGAGGGUUAUACUGUCUCCUUUUUCCAAUCAGUGAAACUAAUCUCCCCGUGAAGAAGCGGGGAUAAAACCAUAAGACGAGAAGACCCUAUGGAGCUUUAAAUUUCUUCUCAAAUGCCCACCAGCCCACAAGGUUUAAAACCCCCUCCAAAAUAGUUAGGCACCAUGAGACAGAAUUUUAGGUUGGGGUGACCGCGGAGUACAAAACAACCUCCACAUUGAAAAGGCCUCCAAACCCUGAGCAAUGGCCUACAACCCUAUGCACAAAAAAAUUUACAUUUAUUGACCCAAUUUUUUGAUCAACGAACCAAGUUACCCUAGGGAUAACAGCGCAAUCCUCUUCAAGAGCCCCUAUCGCCAAGAGGGUUUACGACCUCGAUGUUGGAUCAGGGUAUCCCAGUGGUGCAGCCGCUACUAAUGGUUCGUUUGUUCAACGAUUAAAACCC